GUAUCGGACAAAAAUAGACCAACGCGGUCCUUCCACCUGCUGCGCAUGCGGCCUCCAUCUCCGUAGCAACCGGGUAGCAACGGCGGAGAGGAUCACGGGACCAAGACGAAGCAAGACGAAGCUGCUUGGAUUUGACUUUAGGCGCCAAAGUGUUUUUGCAACACCUAGCGGACCGGGGAGAAGUUCCAGGAGGGGAGCAGCACGAACAUAAUUACAGUAACAUCUGUCAGGAAGGUGGGAGUGAGCAGAUUCCCUGUUCCCAUGAUAUCAGUGACCAUUGAAAAGACGGCCGUCACUUCCUAGGGACCCUUUGGAGAGAGGCCGCAACUUCCCACCUUGUGGGCAUUGGGUCCUUGGUGCAAAUGACGCACCUAAAACUGAAACAGGGUGGGACUGAGACCCUCCAAUCCACAAACUACACGAAGAUAAAAACACUUGACGACGAAACCAAUAUGCAGGACCAUGUCAUUGGAUGCAUGGAUCAGCAGGAUGAGGAGGAGCUGUUGAUUCUGUUCGAGAAUGGGAAGGAAUUUUUUUUGAUCGAAAAAGAAAAAUGGGCACCAUAUAAGGAUAAAAUAUUAGAGAGGGCAGUACACGUAAAAAUUACAGCAAAGGGGAGAAAAAUCAUGGAGAUUGAUAGCGUAGAGGAAUUGUUGCAAAAUAGUUAGUAUGUAGGUUUUGUCUGUUUGUUGAGUUGAGUUCCAUCGUUAAAAUUGUAUAUAUGAAUAUUGCUAAAAAAAUUAAAUGUACAUGUCAAUACUUAUAAUUCAUAAUCUUGUUGAUGCUAAUGUUCUUUUAUUAGACUUUGUUAAAGAUUGAGAAUUUUCAAUUCACUGCUCCCUGAUUGAUAGCAAUCAACAGAGCCUAUUUGACAACCCUUUGGUUCUACUGUCCUCAAUGUGUGUGUUAAGUAUGAAACAGACAGAUCAGUUCUUUUAGAAAAAAACAUUUUAAUAGCAUACCAUCUGAUUCUGAUCUGAUUCUUGUAAGGAAAAUAAGUGACUAAAUAUAUCAACAGCACAACACCCAACAAGUCUGAAAUAAUUUACAUAUAUGACAGAAGUCAUACAAUACAUAAUUUGAAUGUGGAAUAUAUAUUUCUUUAUACAUUUUGGACAGUCAAACGUCGGAUAACAUCACGACCCACAGAUUUUGAUACAAAACAUCCUUUACAUAUACAAUAAAUUAAUAACUUUUACUUCAAAAUCUUCUUUGCCUAUUUAAAACUGUGAUGUGUGGGUCAACUCAUUUAGAACUUGUAAAAUUUUAAGUUAAAAAACAAAAAGGUUGAAAGGUUAAAUAAACCAUUAAAGGUGUAUUUAAUUUUUUAAAAAAGGUCUUAAAUUAUUAUCCUUUUACAAUCACUAUAUGACAAGGCUCGACAACUAAUUUAUAAGUGUGACACAUUCAUUAAGAAAGAUCUUUUGAUUUUAAAAUCUCUGUAAAAUGUUCUUUGUUUAAUACUCAUAAACUGAGUAUGUUAUUCAC